UAGGGAAUCUUCGGCAAUGGACGAAAGUCUGACCGAGCAACGCCGCGUGAGUGAAGAAGGUUUUCGGAUCGUAAAACUCUGUUGUUAGAGAAGAACAAGGACGUUAGUAACUGAACGUCCCCUGACGGUAUCUAACCAGAAAGCCACGGCUAACUACGUGCCAGCAGCCGCGGUAAUACGUAGGUGGCAAGCGUUGUCCGGAUUUAUUGGGCGUAAAGCGAGCGCAGGCGGUUUCUUAAGUCUGAUGUGAAAGCCCCCGGCUCAACCGGGGAGGGUCAUUGGAAACUGGGAGACUUGAGGGCAGAAGAGGAGAGUGGAAGUCCAUGUGUAGCGGUGAAAUGCGUAGAUAUAUGGAGGAACACCAGUGGCGAAGGCGGCUCUCUGGUCUGUAACUGACGCUGAGGCUCGAAAGCGUGGGGAGCAAACAGG
rnacentral:rRNA from 1 species